GAGGCGGGAGGAUUGCUUGAAUCAGGGAGGCUGAGGCUAUAGUGAGUUAUGAUCAUGCCACUGCACUCCAGCCUGAGUGACAGAG
rnacentral:miRNA from 1 species